rnacentral:tRNA from 1 species
GCCCGGGAUAAACGACGGAGCCGACGUCCUUGCCGCUUUGGCCGACGAAACCGGGCAGCCCGCGCCGUUCGAGACGCUGACCGUGCA